rnacentral:rRNA from 1 species
GGGGAAUAUUGCGCAAAGGGGGAAACCCUGACGCAGCAAUAUCGCGUGAGUGAAGAAGGUUCUCGGAUCGUAAAGCUCGUUAACUGGGGAAGUAAAAAAGCUGGAACACAAAAAGAAAGUACCGCCUAACUACGCGCCAGCAGCCGCGGUAAUACGUAGGGGACAAGCGUUGUCCGGAUUUACUGGGCGUAAAGGGCACGCAGGCGGUUUUUUAAGUCAGAUGUGAAAGGUACCGGCUCAACCGGUGACAUGCAUUUGAAACUGAAAGACUUGAGUAUUGGAGAGGCAAGUGGAAUUCCUAGUGUAGCGGUGAAAUGCGUAGAUAUUAGGAGGAACACCGGUGGCGAAGGCGGCUUGCUGGACAAAUACUGACGCUGAGGUGCGAAAGCGUGGGGAGCAAACA